rnacentral:lncRNA from 1 species
AUGAAUGGGCUCAAUGCGCAUAUAAAGGCUGGGGAGGAGCGAUCAGAAAGGAAUGGAAUUCCAGUCUCCCGCAGGUGGAGGCCAGCCCCGGGGCCGGCCCCGACCGGGAGGAGUAGGACUGGGGAGAGGGCAGAGGUGGGGCCCCGUGACUCUACCAGGAAGCUAGGGUCCAAGGACCAAGCAUUUCCCUGUCCCACCCUGAGAGCCGGAACCUUCGGCGCUGGUAAGUUGGCUUUGACUCUUGGAAGAGUAAGUAAGUGCCUUCUCUGCGGGGCGGGGCGGGGCUCCCUGGCUUCUCAGCCUCUGGGGAGGGGGCCUGCCGGACGGCUCGAGGAAGCGCCCCCUUCCUUCCCCGCCGGGAAACUCCAGGAAGAGGCUUGGAGUGGGAGGGACCGGGGCCGGCGGACUACACCCCCGGCUCUCCUAGAAACCAGCCGGCGACAUUCCGGGAGCCCCAGAGGCAGCCACCAGGCUGGUGGACCCCACAGGAGCCCCAGAGGACAGCAAGACCCCAGGGCGGAGCCAGCUGAGCCCACAGCCGCUGGUGGCCAGAGCCCUGGGGGAGGCCGGGCCCAAGACCCCACUGGAGCAGGUCACCCGGGAGCGGGACGAUGCCAUUGCCAAGAAGCUGGCAGUAGAAGCCGAGCUGGGCAUCUGCAGGGCCAAACUCCAAGCCUCGGAGAAGCAGUUGCUGGAGGUGGUGGCAGAGAAGCUGAAGCUGAUGGAGGAGAUCGAGGCCUGGAAGGUAGGGCAGGCCCUGGCUUCCCCCAGGGCGAGGAUUUCUGGUGGGGCUCUCUGCUCCCCUCCCAGCCCCGGCCUCCCCCAACCUCCGUCUCUUCCCCAGGAAGACAUGCAGGAGCUGAUCCGCCAACAGAUUCACAGGCAGCUGCAGAGAGAGGGCAGGGCCCCUGCCUCCGAGCCCAGAGCCCCCCGGGCUGGCCUGACCUCCCAUUUCUCCCAGUGGCAGUGGAGAUGGCGGAGGUGAGAGGGCUGGAAGUAGCACUAGUCAGCAGACUGAAGCUCUGGCCAUGGUGUCCACUCCAGGUAGCCGCUGGGUUUGAAGCGUGGCCGGCCGUGGCCCGCAUUUCCAUCCUCCCUUACGGUGGAGCUCUGUUCAUCCCUCCCCUGAGCCUUCCCCUUCUUCCAGAGGGCCAGGCCUUUUCCGCUCUCACCCCCGAGGCUGGGGCUGCCUCGGCCUCUGUGUGGGGAAGAUCUCGUGCUCUUUGAGCCUGUGUUUGAGAAGUCUGGAGAGGAGCCAGUACUCCCCUCUGUGGUCCAGCCACAGGAGGUGGCACCUCAGAGGACCAAGACGGGGCCAGGAGAGGGUUCUUGGAGCUGGAGGAAGUCCCUCGUGGUAUCUCCUUGCUGGAACAGGACUUCCGUGUUGAUCUGUACUAAGUUCUGCCUGUCAUCCUCCACCAGAUGGGUGAGAAGGAACAGCUGUGCCCUGGAGAGUUGAGUGGGAUGAUUUGGUAUCCUGGCUCAGCUGUUGAGCCUCUCCUUCAUCCUUUUAGGCCAAAUCUAGUUCCGUCUCUCCAAGUUCCAGGCCAGCUACGUAGAGCUUUGAAUUCCUUUCCUAACUCUUCUGGCUUUAUGUCUGUAUUUGUCCUUCCUCAGCCCUCCCACUUUCCUUAUUCCCUAUCUCCCAGGCCACUGCCCCGGGGCCCCACGUUUCUCCUCUCUCCUUCCCAUGACCUCAAACUCAAAUAUUUGUCCUGUGCAGCCCCAUCUAUAGAGCCCAGAGAGGGGAAAGGAUUUGCCUAAGAAUUUUUAACUUUCCUAAAUGAAUCCAAGCUGGAUUUGAUAGAGCAACUCUAGAUACAAAUCUUAAACACAUAGACCUCUGAAAGGAUCUUUCUGCUGGAUAGAGAUUGGAGGUGGUAGAUUGCUGGCUCAGGCGUUAACUGAUGCCCUUCUGAAGGCUUUUAAGUGGUCGCCGAUGCCACCCCUCCUGUUCUCACUGCAGGGUUGACCAUGGAGAAGUGAUCUUCAGGGGGUAGUUCCUCAAACCUGGUAUUGAACUAGAAAUCCUCUACUGCUCAAGGACCCACAAUCUCCUCUCAGACUUUGUAGCAAGGUGGGGAGAACAAUAUACCAGAAAUUCCCCUCUGUUCCUACAGGACUACAUUCUCUGCUUCCAACUCCACUGAAGACUCAGAGCCCUAAUCCUUUUUUGACUCCAUGACCUGUCCUGGGGAUUUGAUGGAUCCUUGACACUGAUUGCAGGACUAUGGGAUGCUUCUGACUGUCAAGAAGGCUGAUGCUCUGCCCUCCAGGCCCUAGUGGAUAAACCUCAUCUGCUACAACAUCUGGACCAUGGGCUAUGCUGAUUCCUCUCAUUCUGUUUCUGAUGAAGACCAAGGGGACCCAUCUAAACGGAGGCAGGAGAGCCUGCUGCUCAGUGCUCCUGGUCUCAGACUAGCUGGAAUCAUGGUUGCCUGGGCUCCUCCUUUGUUUCUGGGGCUUGAACUUGGAGUUAGCAGUCUCCCCAACUCCUUAUGCUUGUUGACCCUCCUCCGACCUGGGGGUGCCUACUAGUAGCCUGGGUAUUUGGCAAAGAAUCAAGCUGGUUCAUUCAAUAUUCAUUAAGUAAAUUAUGCUAUGUGCUGGGCAUACCAAGACAAAAUAAAAAGUCUGUCUGGCCUCA